UACGUAGGUGGCAAGCGUUGUCCGGAUUUAUUGGGUUUAAAGGGUGCGUAGGCGGCGAUCUAAGUCAGUGCUGAAAUAUCCCGGCUUAACUGGGAGGGUGGCAUUGAUACUGGGUUGCUUGAGUAAAGUUGAGGUAGGCGGAAUUGACGGUGUAGCGGUGAAAUGCUUAGAUAUCGUCAAGAACACCAAUAGUGAAGACAGCUUACUAAACUUUAACUGACGCUGAGGCACGAAAGUGUGGGGAUCAAACAGG
rnacentral:rRNA from 1 species